UCUCUCCGCCAGGCAACUAUUUAAUUUAGUUCCACGGAGUAAAUCUUAGGACUCAAGGGCUCGGGGCGUGGGGGAAGGGACCGCCUUACCUUCUCCAGGGGGCAAAGCCGCGUCGACGCGCGCCACCGCCAUACUUCCCGCUCGCUAAUAAUACGAGCAACCGUCCUCCAGCGGCUCGGAGUUUGGAGUCAGGAGGACGGAGCCGGAAACUACAGCUCCCAGGAUGCACUGCCUGCGUCUAAUGAUGUAAAACUCGGGUUAGACCGAGCCGCAGUGGGUUUAGGAACCCGGGUCAGCCCCUUACCGGACACAUAAGCAAGCUACUGAGAGAGGAUCGUUUUUGCUGCCUUUAACAGGUGUCUGCGAAAUUUGACACUUUUACCAUUGAGAUCAUCAUAAGGUCUCAGAUCGAAUUGGAGCGCUCACUGCUAGAAGUCUCUGGGGUGGCCGCCCCCUUUUUUUGGACAAUUCUGAAUAAGUUGAAAGCGUCUUACUCUGCUAGAGGAAUGACUUGCGUAAUCGUGUCGAGAUAGCCAAACGGAUACAUUUCACUUGAAAAUUUAAAGCAUUCCGGGAUAGAAGGUUUCGCACAGUAUUUUUAAGUGGUUCUUGAAUAACAUAACUUGGGACCUAAGGGUGUUUUUUAAGAAGUAUGAACCUAGAAUUUUUGCAACGAGUAUCCAAAAGAAUUUUACAGUGUAGUCACCAAACUCAAGAAUUACACAGCCUGACUCAAAGGGAGUAGGCUCACACUUUUGCUAUAACUAUGACCUGCUAACUAGUAUGAUUGUAUCUAUUAACACAAGAUCUCAGCGAAUGGAGAAAGAAAUGGAAACAAUAAUCUUCAGAGACUUGAAGUGAAACUGAACUAGCGCUUAAAAGAUGGGUAGAGUCUAAAGAGUUCAGAGGUAAUACAUCAGCUAAUAUAUGAGAAAAUAAGGUGGAAGUACAAAUAAAUUUCAAGAAUAAAGCCACUCAGAUAUUUUUCAGAUUGAUCGACUGAUUGAGACAGAGAGAGAGAGAGAAAGAGAGAGAGGGGGAGAACACAAGCUGGGAAAGGUGCAGAGCUCCUCCCUGCUGAGCAUGGAGCUGGGUAGAGCCACUUUCAAGUUGUGGAACCAAUGCAGUUGCACAGGCCUGAUGCCCAGAACACUUAGGGCUUAAUGCUCUGCACUUGCUGUCUUGGAAAGCGAUCAUUGUUAUGUGUUCUGUAAGCGAAGUACAACAUGGACAAUAGGGCAUACGCCUGGGCCUUGGAGCUUCAGCUCACAGGCAGGUCCACUUCCGGCUGCCACACUUUCUAGACUUGAUCCCUAAUGAACAUCUUGCAUGCUAAACGCAGUCUCAGGAAGCGCUUCCAAAGAAGACAGCCUGUAACACUAGAGCUACUCAGGCCAAACUUAAUUUUGAAGACCAGUGAAAUAAAAUCUUCCUAAAAUGCUUGGGAAGGUACUAUAAAUCCUGGGGUUCUGUGGAUCAAAUUCCUGCUUAUAAAUCUUGGCCCCAUCUUCUACUCAUUCCAGCUGGGCCUUAUCGCCUAUAGAAGCCAGGUCGUUUUCUUCUCUUUUUUUUUUUUUUU